rnacentral:rRNA from 2 species
UUAAGCGACUAAGCGUACACGGUGGAUGCCCUGGCAGUCAGAGGCGAUGAAGGACGUGCUAAUCUGCGAUAAGCGUCGGUAAGGUGAUAUGAACCGUUAUAACCGGCGAUUUCCGAAUGGGGAAACCCAGUGUGAUUCGUCACACUAUCAUUAACUGAAUCCAUAGGUUAAUGAGGCGAACCGGGGGAACUGAAACAUCUAAGUACCCCGAGGAAAAGAAAUCAACCGAGAUUCCCCCAGUAGCGGCGAGCGAACGGGGAGGAGCCCAGAGCCUGAAUCAGUGUGUGUGUUAGUGGAAGCGUCUGGAAAGGCGCGCGAUACAGGGUGACAGCCCCGUACACAAAAAUGCACAUGCUGUGAGCUCGAUGAGUAGGGCGGGACACGUGGUAUCCUGUCUGAAUAUGGGGGGACCAUCCUCCAAGGCUAAAUACUCCUGACUGACCGAUAGUGAACCAGUACCGUGAGGGAAAGGCGAAAAGAACCCCGGCGAGGGGAGUGAAAAAGAACCUGAAACCGUGUACGUACAAGCAGUGGGAGCACAGAGCAAUCUGUGUGACUGCGUACCUUUUGUAUAAUGGGUCAGCGACUUAUAUUCUGUAGCAAGGUUAACCGAAUAGGGGAGCCGAAGGGAAACCGAGUCUUAACCGGGCGUUAAGUUGCAGGGUAUAGACCCGAAACCCGGUGAUCUAGCCAUGGGCAGGUUGAAGGUUGGGUAACACUAACUGGAGGACCGAACCGACUAAUGUUGAAAAAUUAGCGGAUGACUUGUGGCUGGGGGUGAAAGGCCAAUCAAACCGGGAGAUAGCUGGUUCUCCCCGAAAGCUAUUUAGGUAGCGCCUCGUGAAUUCAUCUCCGGGGGUAGAGCACUGUUUCGGCAAGGGGGUCAUCCCGACUUACCAACCCGAUGCAAACUGCGAAUACCGGAGAAUGUUAUCACGGGAGACACACGGCGGGUGCUAACGUCCGUCGUGAAGAGGGAAACAACCCAGACCGCCAGCUAAGGUCCCAAAGUCAUGGUUAAGUGGGAAACGAUGUGGGAAGGCCCAGACAGCCAGGAUGUUGGCUUAGAAGCAGCCAUCAUUUAAAGAAAGCGUAAUAGCUCACUGGUCGAGUCGGCCUGCGCGGAAGAUGUAACGGGGCUAAACCAUGCACCGAAGCUGCGGCAGCGACACUGUGUGUUGUUGGGUAGGGGAGCGUUCUGUAAGCCUGUGAAGGUGUGCUGUGAGGCAUGCUGGAGGUAUCAGAAGUGCGAAUGCUGACAUAAGUAACGAUAAAGCGGGUGAAAAGCCCGCUCGCCGGAAGACCAAGGGUUCCUGUCCAACGUUAAUCGGGGCAGGGUGAGUCGACCCCUAAGGCGAGGCCGAAAGGCGUAGUCGAUGGGAAACAGGUUAAUAUUCCUGUACUUGGUGUUACUGCGAAGGGGGGACGGAGAAGGCUAUGUUGGCCGGGCGACGGUUGUCCCGGUUUAAGCGUGUAGGCUGGUUUUCCAGGCAAAUCCGGAAAAUCAAGGCUGAGGCGUGAUGACGAGGCACUACGGUGCUGAAGCAACAAAUGCCCUGCUUCCAGGAAAAGCCUCUAAGCAUCAGGUAACAUCAAAUCGUACCCCAAACCGACACAGGUGGUCAGGUAGAGAAUACCAAGGCGCUUGAGAGAACUCGGGUGAAGGAACUAGGCAAAAUGGUGCCGUAACUUCGGGAGAAGGCACGCUGAUAUGUAGGUGAAGUCCCUCGCGGAUGGAGCUGAAAUCAGUCGAAGAUACCAGCUGGCUGCAACUGUUUAUUAAAAACACAGCACUGUGCAAACACGAAAGUGGACGUAUACGGUGUGACGCCUGCCCGGUGCCGGAAGGUUAAUUGAUGGGGUCAGCGCAAGCGAAGCUCUUGAUCGAAGCCCCGGUAAACGGCGGCCGUAACUAUAACGGUCCUAAGGUAGCGAAAUUCCUUGUCGGGUAAGUUCCGACCUGCACGAAUGGCGUAAUGAUGGCCAGGCUGUCUCCACCCGAGACUCAGUGAAAUUGAACUCGCUGUGAAGAUGCAGUGUACCCGCGGCAAGACGGAAAGACCCCGUGAACCUUUACUAUAGCUUGACACUGAACAUUGAGCCUUGAUGUGUAGGAUAGGUGGGAGGCUUUGAAGUGUGGACGCCAGUCUGCAUGGAGCCGACCUUGAAAUACCACCCUUUAAUGUUUGAUGUUCUAACGUGGACCCGUGAUCCGGGUUGCGGACAGUGUCUGGUGGGUAGUUUGACUGGGGCGGUCUCCUCCUAAAGAGUAACGGAGGAGCACGAAGGUUGGCUAAUCCUGGUCGGACAUCAGGAGGUUAGUGCAAUGGCAUAAGCCAGCUUGACUGCGAGCGUGACGGCGCGAGCAGGUGCGAAAGCAGGUCAUAGUGAUCCGGUGGUUCUGAAUGGAAGGGCCAUCGCUCAACGGAUAAAAGGUACUCCGGGGAUAACAGGCUGAUACCGCCCAAGAGUUCAUAUCGACGGCGGUGUUUGGCACCUCGAUGUCGGCUCAUCACAUCCUGGGGCUGAAGUAGGUCCCAAGGGUAUGGCUGUUCGCCAUUUAAAGUGGUACGCGAGCUGGGUUUAGAACGUCGUGAGACAGUUCGGUCCCUAUCUGCCGUGGGCGCUGGAGAACUGAGGGGGGCUGCUCCUAGUACGAGAGGACCGGAGUGGACGCAUCACUGGUGUUCGGGUUGUCAUGCCAAUGGCACUGCCCGGUAGCUAAAUGCGGAAGAGAUAAGUGCUGAAAGCAUCUAAGCACGAAACUUGCCCCGAGAUGAGUUCUCCCUGACCCUUUAAGGGUCCUGAAGGAACGUUGAAGACGACGACGUUGAUAGGCCGGGUGUGUAAGCGCAGCGAUGCGUUGAGCUAACCGGUACUAAUGAACCGUGAGGCUUAACCU